GAAAAAUCUUGAUCCCCAAAGGAUAUUAUAUUCUAACAGCUUACUGGAGUGAAAGAAAAUGCACUUUUCUUUCCUGUGAAACAACACUAUAUUUUAGGAAAUGAGCAGAAAUUAAGGGUUUAUUUGAUACAGGCAUGAGUGAUCAAAUCUGAAUUAGGGUUUCUUGUUUUACCACUGAUUCAUUUUGUAACCUUGGUAAACUUCUCAGCCUUUUUAGUGUGUGUGUGUGUUUUCCAUGACACUUUUAGAAACGAAACACUAUAUAAAUCUGAAAGAUUUUUGAAGAUCUUUUUAGUAUAUUAUGGUGUGUGUGACUACUUAUUUGAGAAAGUUAGAUCAUAAGUUCUAAGGUGAGAGCAAUGACAACCAUAUAUAUCAUAUUAGUUCCUUGUUAUAGAACUUUUUUAUAUUUUUCUGUUUUAGUAACUGAAAUUCCCUGGUAGCUCAGCUGGUAAAGAAUCCUGCCAUAAUGCAGAAGACCCUGGUUUGAUUCCUGGGUCAGGAAGAUCCACUGGAGAAAGGACAAGCUACCAACUCCAGUGUUCUAGGUGUCCUAGAUUUAAAGGUUACAGCUCCAACUCAAGACUCUUAAAAAGGACCUGGCAAUACAGAUGCUUUUGUGGGACCAGGUCGGACCUGCAUCAUCUUCUGGCCUAUGUGGAUUAUAUUUACACUUUUCUUUCUUGUUUUUCUUUUAAAAAAAUUUCUGGCCUUCUCUAUUGUUAUUAUGUACUCUGUUGAGCCAUUUAUUCUCUUGUUUGUCUAGAUCAGGGCUUCUCUAGAGUUGAAGUAUGUCAGUCACUUGGAGAUCUUGUUAAACUGAUAGAUUCUAGUUCAGUAGGUUUGGAGUGGGGCCUGAAGUUCUGUUUCUUUCAUGCUUCUUAAAUACUGCUGCUGCUGCUGCUGCUAUGUCGCUAGCCAAUCUGAGCCUCGGCUACUCUAUCUGCUUCUUAAAUGCUUUCCCAUAAUGUCCUAAGGUGUUUCUCAUGGUAGAUUUCCCUGAAGCACUCUUAUAACCGCUACACAUGACUACCCUUUUCUUCCUUAUAGUGGUAUCUUCUACCUUGACUUCUCUAGUUAUAAUUCUCCUGCCUACCACUCUGUUUGUUACUGUUUUCACGGGCUUCCCUGUGGCUCAGAUGUUAAAGGAUCUGCCUGCAAUGUGGGAGACCUAGGUUCGAUCCCUGGGGCAGGAAGAUCCCCUGGAGACAGGAAUGGCAACCCACUCCAGUAUUCUUGUCUGGAGAAUUCCAUAGACAGAGGAGCCUAGUGGACUACAGACCAUGGGGUCUCAAAGAGUCAGACGUAUCUGAGCGACUCACUUUCAUGUUCAUUCAUUCCUCCACGCUGUAAUUUAGUUUUGC
rnacentral:lncRNA from 1 species